rnacentral:rRNA from 1 species
UACGUAGGGAGCAAGCGUUAUCCGGAUUUAUUGGGUGUAAAGGGUGCGUAGACGGGAAGGCAAGUUGGUUGUGAAAUCCCACGGCUCAACCGUGGAACAGCCCUUGAUACUGCGCGACUUGAAUCCGGGAGAGGGUGGCGGAAUUCCAGGUGUAGGAGUGAAAUCCGUAGAUAUCUGGAGGAACAUCAGUGGCGAAGGCGGCCACCUGGACCGGUAUUGACGCUGAGGCGCGAAAGCGUGGGGAGCAAACAGG